UACGGAGGAUCCGAGCGUUAUCCGGAUUUAUUGGGUUUAAAGGGUGCGCAGGCGGGAGAUUAAGUCGGCGGUGAAAUUUUGCAGCUCAACUGUAAAAGUGCCUUCGAAACUGGUUUUCUUGAGUGUGGAUGAAGUAGGCGGAAUUUGUGGUGUAGCGGUGAAAUGCAUAGAUAUCACGAGGAACUCCGAUUGCGCAGGCAGCUUACUAAACCAUAACUGACGCUCAGGCACGAAGGCGUGGGGAUCAAACAGGAUUAGAUACCCGGGUAGUCCCU
rnacentral:rRNA from 1 species